AGAAAAAGGAAAAUUCAAGAGAAAAACAAAAGGAGGAUGCCUCGCCUACGGGACGCCGUUGUAGUACAAUUAUAUACUUUUUAUACGUGUCUCAGCGUUAGGAGUGUCAAAGGAUUGGGAAACAAAGAUCCCUUGACGAGAGUCUCGGCGUUUCUUCACUUGUUCAGCGGCCUCUUCGAAUGGUGGAUUCCUCAGGUACAGUCUGUGACGUAAACUGCGCGUCAUUUCGGUUGAAUAUUCAGACGAAAUCAUCGUCGAAUGACUUUCGUAGACAAAAAUCUCCGCGGGGAAAGUAAGAGUGAUUUAAUCCUGUUUUUUGCCUCAUUCGGACUGACAAACGUAGCGAAUUUCUACUCUCUUCAUAAUGUUUUAUUUACCUAAAACGAGACACUCGAAUUACGCAACGCGUACAGCUUUCGACGGACGGAUAGAAGCGAUGCGGAGAGAAUAAUAUGCUUCAAAGGGUACCGAUGAAUUCUCAAUCCCAGGCGCUGAGGACGCUCCGCUUUCAGGAUUACACGCUAUACGGCCCUCGCGAAACUGGGUCACCUUGCCGGAGGUUUUGCAACUCUGAUCUCCGAGAGUACCUAAGGAAACUGUAGUCGAGCUGAGAGGAACGCGGACUCUGCAGCACUCGAGUUUUUAGCUCGUGCUGCCUCUUUCGUGCAUACGCUAAUCUACGCGAAGAUAGAAAAAUUGUUGUACGUGCAGAAUUAAACGUAUCAAACUUCGCGGCGGCGGCGGCGGCGGCUCGACGUCGAAUACGCAAAAAAGGGCAGCGCGCUCCCUUGCCGCACUUUUUUCGACUCGAAUGUUACGGUUUUCGAGCCUUUCUUUUCUUGAGAAACUCUCAUGAGGCUUCGGUUAAACUCAUCACGAGUUCGUUGCUCACACUUUGGUGAUUGAACGACCGAGAACGAUCUCGCCUGACUGUGACGUUUCCUACUCUUCUGCAUGAUUUCGUAUUCCAAUGAUUUCAGUCGCGUAACAUUAAUUUCGAAAAAAUUUCGCAGAACUUUGGCCACUUGAUAUCGACUUGAAACGAAAUAUCUCAAAGUAUCGAGGUACGAAAACAUUUCUGAGAAUUUCGAGCUUCAAGGUACCGCGGCUUAUCAUCAUUGCUUUCCUUGCCAGGCCGUUUUUGGCCAAUAACGCUUUUGCAUAGCCAGCGUCGCGCUGCUCAUCCUUAUAAUCGAUUCUCCUAUCUUAGGUUGCGAUCGAUCACACGCUCGAUUUGACUUUGAUACGCUCAUAAGUGGAUACACAUUCGCAGCUUCUCUUAUCAUUCGCGUUCGGUCGAUUGGCUGAUACGUGUACGCCGGUGGCCAGUCGCGCUCUUUUCUCCGCCCCUAGACGCACCGGGUGGUAACGAGCGAUCGAAUGAUUUUUGUUUGAGCAAAAAUCAUUGAGAAUCGAUGAUUCGAAUCUUACGUUUCAUCGUCCCUGGAUAAGCCUUCGCGGAGUUCGUCGACAAAGUAUUUACAACUUCACCUUUGAAUCCGCUUCUUCUUCACUGCAAUGAUUCUCUUCGAACGAGAUUCUCAAUGUCGCAGGGGAUGCCGAUUAAAUGAUGGAAAACUCCACUUAUCUUUUUUUUUUGACAAAUUCUUAUAAGUUAGAAUUAGUUUUUGCCAUUUUUAGCAAUUACAAGAGUCGAGCCAGUGACUGGACAGAAAUACAUUUACAAUACGUCAACAUUCAACCUCCUCGCGGUUCUCGCCCUGGCGAAUCUCGCGCUCUCUUGUCCAGCCGAGCGGACCUUCGAGUUGGGAAAAAAUACGAAGACUAGAAUCGUCCUCACCGAAAAUAAGAUCGUAGAGCCGAGCCCGAGAAUCAACGCGAUCAAGUCCCGCGGUCUAAACGAUGACUCUGAUUUCUUCGUCGGCGAUCUGAUCCUCGGUGACGAUCACGAAGGUUCGGAUACGUACAUCGAUCAUAUGGAAAUCACCAACCCCACGGAGGAGAUCGUCAGUCAAUUUGUGCAGUUCACCAUCCCUGAGAAAAUAAUAAACUUUGUGGCCAUAUUGAACGAAUCGGGAACUAAGGUAGCGGUGUGCGAUACUGAAAACACUCUUGGUUCUUCGACCGGCGUCAUCAAUAUUCGUCAGUUGCCCAACAGUACGACGAAACUGUUUAUCAUGGUCUCAGCUUAUUGAGGAGUGACAAAUCCAACGAUUCUCCAGCGCACUCCCGAACUUGAUUAUCGUCAAAUGCAUUUAUACUCUAUUCGUAGGGAAACAAAUGGAUAAUUUUAUGGAAUUUUAUGGGAUGAAUAAAU